rnacentral:snoRNA from 1 species
UAUGCAGAUGAUGAAAAAAAGACAGGGACAUCAGCACUCCAAUGGAGAAUGUUGACUUAGUCUAAUGGGAAUCUCUCUGAUGCGUU